GGGUUGUGAGGUUAAGCGACUAAGCGUACACGGUGGAUGCCCGGCAGUCAGAGGCGAUGAAGGACGUGCUAAUCUGCGAUAAGCGUCGGUAAGGUGAUAUGAACCGUUAUAACCGGCGAUUUCCGAAUGGGGAAACCCAGUGUGUUUCGACACACUAUCAUUAACUGAAUCCAUAGGUUAAUGAGGCGAACCGGGGGAACUGAAACAUCUAAGUACCCCGAGGAAAAGAAAUCAACCGAGAUUCCCCCAGUAGCGGCGAGCGAACGGGGAGCAGCCCAGAGCCUGAAUCAGUGUGUGUGUUAGUGGAAGCGUCUGGAAAGGCGCGCGAUACAGGGUGACAGCCCCGUACACAAAAAUGCACAUAUUGUGAGCUCGAUGAGUAGGGCGGGACACGUGGUAUCCUGUCUGAAUAUGGGGACCAUCCUCCAAGGCUAAAUACUCCUGACUGACCGAUAGUGAACCAGUACCGUGAGGGAAAGGCGAAAAGAACCCCGGCGAGGGAGUGAAAAGAACCUGAAACCGUGUACGUACAAGCAGUGGGAGCACGCUUAGGCGUGUGACUGCGUACCUUUUGUAUAAUGGGUCAGCGACUUAUAUUCUGUAGCAAGGUUAACCGAAUAGGGAGCCGAAGGGAAACCGAGUCUUAACUGGGCGUUAAGUUGCAGGGUAUAGACCCGAAACCCGGUGAUCUAGCCAUGGGCAGGUUGAAGGUUGGGUAACACUAACUGGAGGACCGAACCGACUAAUGUUGAAAAAUUAGCGGAUGACUUGUGGCUGGGGUGAAAGGCCAAUCAAACCGGGAGAUAGCUGGUUCUCCCCGAAAGCUAUUUAGGUAGCGCCUCGUGAAUUCAUCUCCGGGGUAGAGCACUGUUUCGGCAAGGGGUCAUCCCGACUUACCAACCCGAUGCAAACUGCGAAUACCGGAGAAUGUUAUCACGGGAGACACACGGCGGGUGCUAACGUCCGUCGUGAAGAGGGAAACAACCCAGACCGCCAGCUAAGGUCCCAAAGUCAUGGUUAAGUGGGAAACGAUGUGGGAAGGCCCAGACAGCCGGAUGUUGGCUUAGAAGCAGCCAUCAUUUAAAGAAAGCGUAAUAGCUCACUGGUCGAGUCGGCCUGCGCGGAAGAUGUAACGGGGCUAAACCAUGCACCGAAGCUGCGGCAGCGACGCUGAUGCGUUGUUGGGUAGGGGAGCGUUCUGUAAGCCUGUGAAGGUGCGCUGUGAGGCAUGCUGGAGGUAUCAGAAGUGCGAAUGCUGACAUAAGUAACGAUAAAGCGGGUGAAAAGCCCGCUCGCCGGAAGACCAAGGGUUCCUGUCCAACGUUAAUCGGGGCAGGGUGAGUCGACCCUAAGGCGAGGCCGAAAGGCGUAGUCGAUGGGAAACAGGUUAAUAUUCCUGUACUUGGUGUUACUGCGAAGGGGGACGGAGAAGGCUAUGUUGGCCGGGCGACGGUUGUCCCGGUUUAAGCGUGUAGGCUGGUUUUCCGGCAAAUCCGGAAAAUCAAGGCUGAGGCGUGAUGACGAGGUACUACGGUGCUGAAGCAACAAAUGCCCUGCUUCCGGAAAAGCCUCUAAGCAUCAGGUAACAUCAAAUCGUACCCCAAACCGACACAGGUGGUCAGGUAGAGAAUACCAAGGCGCUUGAGAGAACUCGGGUGAAGGAACUAGGCAAAAUGGUGCCGUAACUUCGGGAGAAGGCACGCUGAUAUGUAGGUGAAGUCCCUCGCGGAUGGAGCUGAAAUCAGUCGAAGAUACCAGCUGGCUGCAACUGUUUAUUAAAAACACAGCACUGUGCAAACACGAAAGUGGACGUAUACGGUGUGACGCCUGCCCGGUGCCGGAAGGUUAAUUGAUGGGGUCAGCGCAAGCGAAGCUCUUGAUCGAAGCCCCGGUAAACGGCGGCCGUAACUAUAACGGUCCUAAGGUAGCGAAAUUCCUUGUCGGGUAAGUUCCGACCUGCACGAAUGGCGUAAUGAUGGCCAGGCUGUCUCCACCCGAGACUCAGUGAAAUUGAACUCGCUGUGAAGAUGCAGUGUACCCGCGGCAAGACGGAAAGACCCCGUGAACCUUUACUAUAGCUUGACACUGAACAUUGAGCCUUGAUGUGUAGGAUAGGUGGGAGGCUUUGAAGUGUGGACGCCAGUCUGCAUGGAGCCGACCUUGAAAUACCACCCUUUAAUGUUUGAUGUUCUAACGUUGACCCGUAAUCCGGGUUGCGGACAGUGUCUGGUGGGUAGUUUGACUGGGGCGGUCUCCUCCUAAAGAGUAACGGAGGAGCACGAAGGUUGGCUAAUCCUGGUCGGACAUCAGGAGGUUAGUGCAAUGGCAUAAGCCAGCUUGACUGCGAGCGUGACGGCGCGAGCAGGUGCGAAAGCAGGUCAUAGUGAUCCGGUGGUUCUGAAUGGAAGGGCCAUCGCUCAACGGAUAAAAGGUACUCCGGGAUAACAGGCUGAUACCGCCCAAGAGUUCAUAUCGACGGCGGUGUUUGGCACCUCGAUGUCGGCUCAUCACAUCCUGGGCUGAAGUAGGUCCCAAGGGUAUGGCUGUUCGCCAUUUAAAGUGGUACGCGAGCUGGGUUUAGAACGUCGUGAGACAGUUCGGUCCCUAUCUGCCGUGGGCGCUGGAGAACUGAGGGGGGCUGCUCCUAGUACGAGAGGACCGGAGUGGACGCAUCACUGGUGUUCGGGUUGUCAUGCCAAUGGCACUGCCCGGUAGCUAAAUGCGGAAGAGAUAAGUGCUGAAAGCAUCUAAGCACGAAACUUGCCCCGAGAUGAGUUCUCCCUGACUCCUUGAGAGUCCUGAAGGAACGUUGAAGACGACGACGUUGAUAGGCCGGGUGUGUAAGCGCAGCGAUGCGUUGAGCUAACCGGUACUAAUGAACCGUGAGGCUUAACCUUACAACGCCGAAGGUGUUU
rnacentral:rRNA from 1 species